CAAUAGCGUAUAUUAAAGUUGUUGCAGUUAAAAAGCUCGUAGUUGGAUUUCUGGUUCGGAGCGACUGGCCCGCCUCGCAAAUUGCGUGUGUGAGUGCCGGUAUUGCACCAGCCAUCCUUCCAGAGACCGCACCUACCCUUCAUUGGGCCUGGUGUUUUUUGGGAUCUGGAUCUUUUACUUUGAAAAAAUUAGAGUGUUCAAAGCAGGCUAACGCUAUGAAUACAUUAGCAUGGAAUAAUAAGAUAGGACUUUGGUUUUAUUUUGUUGGUUUCUAAGACUGAAGUAAUGAUUGAUAGGGAUAGUUGGGGGUGCUAGUAUUUAACGGCCAGAGGUGAAAUUCUUGGAUUCGUUAAAGACUAACUUAUGCGAAANCANNNACCAAGGAUGUCUUCUUNAA
rnacentral:rRNA from 1 species